UACGUAGGGUGCAAGCGUUAUCCGGAAUUAUUGGGCGUAAAGAGCUCGUAGGCGGUUUGUCGCGUCUGCUGUGAAAACCGGAGGCUCAACUCCGGAUCUGCGGUGGGUACGGGCAGACUAGAGUGAUGUAGGGGAGACUGGAAUUCCUGGUGUAGCGGUGAAAUGCGCAGAUAUCAGGAGGAACACCGAUGGCGAAGGCAGGUCUCUGGGCAUUAACUGACGCUGAGGAGCGAAAGCAUGGGGAGCGAACAGG
rnacentral:rRNA from 1 species